GAUGAAGCAGGAACACACCCAGUGCCCUGGCAGGAACACAGAGUUGCGGAGAGCAGCAGCUCGCAAUCGUGGUCAGGGACCGACCGUCCGAGAGUAGACCGUGGAGAUGUGGAGUUCAGUCCAGGAAGUUCCUUCCACGUAGAUUUUGCUGGUUGUGGCAUUGCUUGAAUUUGCGUUAUUGGAUAGCUGGAGCUGUGUAGGAUUUCUUAUAAUUUACUAUAGGAGACAAAGACCACGCUUCAUGAAUUCAGGUGCUCUCUCUCAUUUUUUUUGUAACAAUGUUGCCAAAAAGGCAUUUAUCUGGUUGUGACAAAAUAAAAGAAAGAAGAAACUUGUAGAUAAAAUCAUUGGAGCUUGUAUAUCCAAAUCCUAUAAUUAUAUACUCUCUCUGCUCCCAGGGCGCCCCCGAGGUGGUCAUGUGGGAUCCUCUCGAACAGCCCGUGCUCGCUGUCGACUUCGAUGGCAGGGUCACCCGCUCCAUCGGCCCCCUCUCCGGAGGGAUGUACUACUCGGAUUUCAUCCCCUACGUCAACUCAUACACAGAGAUCUACAUGUACUACUCGGAUUAAACUCUGUUCUGCUGUACAAUUACACUCGCAAGCUGUCUUACCGUAUUAUUGGAUCUGUUAAUCACUGCCUACAUGUUAGAUCGGUUUGAUUUUGA